AUGAUAUCAAUGUCACUUGUCAAGAAGGUUGGACCAAACUCCACAGAGGAUGUUAUAAAUUUGUGGAAGAAGAAGCAACAUGGACUGAUGCUGUAGAGAAAUGUCAAUCAGACAAUGCUGAACUUUCUGUUCUAUUAAGUCAAACUGAGAAGGAUGAUGUACAACAAUAUUUGAUCUCGAACAAUGAAAUAAAAGACAAGAGGUGGUGGGUGGGGCUGACCAGAGAAGAAAAUACUGGAUCAAACUGGAUCUGGACUGAGAAGGGCCGUACACAAAUUGAUAC
rnacentral:sRNA from 1 species